rnacentral:rRNA from 1 species
UACGUAGGGUGCGAGCGUUGUCCGGAAUUAUUGGGCGUAAAGAGCGUGUAGGCGGCCAGAUAAGUCCGCUGUGAAAUCUCGAGGCUCAACUUCGAGCUGUCGGUGGAAACUAUCUGGCUAGAGUCCGGAAGAGGAGAAUGGAAUUCCUGGUGUAGCGGUGAAAUGCGCAGAUAUCAGGAAGAACACCCGUGGCGAAGGCGGGUCUCUGGGCCGAUACUGACGCUGAGGAGCGAAAGCGUGGGGAGCGAACAGG